rnacentral:lncRNA from 1 species
AUGGCCAUAGAAGAUGCUAACAAAUUGUUCUCAAGGUCAAGAAUGGCCUCAUGCAAUUUGUUAAAUCCCGAGCACUUCCGAGAAUCAAAAUCAAAUCAAAGUGCAGAUAUGGAAGGUCCUGGAGGGAAAAGACAUAAUGAAUGUGAAACGAGAUUCCACAGUGAGGAGAACCAAGGCCUGGGCACUGCAUUGCAGUAGAAGAACUACCCAGUCAACCCACAGAAUUGUAAGAAAUACUUUCUUUUUUGGUGUUUUAAAGUGCUAAGUCUUUGUAAGCUGUAUCUGAUAUUUGGGCUAAUGGUUAGCUUCUAUUUAAAAUUGCUUUCUCUUGACUAUUGGUGGCAUUUUCCUGCCUUUUUAUUUCUCUCUUUUAAGUGACAUAUAAUUUAUUUCACAGUGUUAAUGGUCACAAAGCGGGAGUGGCAGCAGUAGGUGAGAGGGGAGAAUUUUCAUUUUUACUCUAUUGAUUUGCAUAUUGUUGAGCUAUUUUAUCAAGCACUUCUACUUUUGUAAGAUAAAUACAAUUUUAACUACUUUCAGUAAAGUAAAGAACUGUAUACAAAUUGGUAUUCCUUUAUGGAAUAGAGGGGAGGGCUUGGUCUUCUAUUCCUCCAUACUGAUAUGGGCCGUAAAAUACAAUCCACUUUUUUCUCUUAAAGCUGGAUGGGCUCAAAGAUGUAGACACUGUUGUUCUGGCCAUUUUUUUUUUUUUAAACUGAAUUAAUUGCAACCCUUUAAAACUCUUGAUUGUUGCAUGAAAACAAAAUGUGAAUAAUGUGGAUUGUUAUUCUGCAUGCAUUUCUCACACACACAUUUUUUGCUGAAAAUUUUUAUAUUACAUUUCGAAGUGGUACUUUAGGUAUUUAGCUUUAGCUUUCACCGAUCAGAUAUACUUAAAUUAGAUUUAAAAAGCAGAUGUUCUAGCAGCUUCUGUUGGCAAACAUGAUCACAGAGGUUUUUGGUUUAUCUCUAAUAGUAUUUCUGUCACCAGCUUUGAGGGAAUCAAGAACCCGGGGCAGAAGACAAAUCCUUUAGUUGUUGUUAUUAUUUCUGUUGCCAGUGUGGACCUAAUAUUAAUGACAUAUGUCUGGAAAUAACUAUUAACUUCCUUACUUUAUUGCUCUUGGUUUUGUCAAUCAAGAAGACUAGCCUGUAAAACAAUCAAAAUGGUUUAUUUGGUGUCUUAGAGAUUGCAAUC